UGCAGGAUAGAGCAGAUGGUAGCUCGGUAGGCUCAUAAUCUACAGGUCGCGGGUUCAAAUCCCGCUCCUGCCA
rnacentral:tRNA from 1 species